UGAUAGCUAUCAUGCAGUCGAGCGAACUGAUUAGAAGCUUGCUUCUAUGACGUUAGCGGCGGACGGGUGAGUAACACGUGGGCAACCUGCCUGUAAGACUGGGAUAACUUCGGGAAACCGAAGCUAAUACCGGAUAGGAUCUUCUCCUUCAUGGGAGAUGAUUGAAAGAUGGUUUCGGCUAUCACUUACAGAUGGGCCCGCGGUGCAUUAGCUAGUUGGUGAGGUAACGGCUCACCAAGGCAACGAUGCAUAGCCGACCUGAGAGGGUGAUCGGCCACACUGGGACUGAGACACGGCCCAGACUCCUACGGGAGGCAGCAGUAGGGAAUCUUCCGCAAUGGACGAAAGUCUGACGGAGCAACGCCGCGUGAGUGAUGAAGGCUUUCGGGUCGUAAAACUCUGUUGUUAGGGAAGAACAAGUACGAGAGUAACUGCUCGUACCUUGACGGUACCUAACCAGAAAGCCACGGCUAACUACGUGCCAGCAGCCGCGGUAAUACGUAGGUGGCAAGCGUUAUCCGGAAUUAUUGGGCGUAAAGCGCGCGCAGGCGGUUUCUUAAGUCUGAUGUGAAAGCCCACGGCUCAACCGUGGAGGGUCAUUGGAAACUGGGGAACUUGAGUGCAGAAGAGAAAAGCGGAAUUCCACGUGUAGCGGUGAAAUGCGUAGAGAUGUGGAGGAACACCAGUGGCGAAGGCGGCUUUUUGGUCUGUAACUGACGCUGAGGCGCGAAAGCGUGGGGAGCAAACAGGAUUAGAUACCCUGGUAGUCCACGCCGUAAACGAUGAGUGCUAAGUGUUAGAGGGUUUCCGCCCUUUAGUGCUGCAGCUAACGCAUUAAGCACUCCGCCUGGGGAGUACGGUCGCAAGACUGAAACUCAAAGGAAUUGACGGGGGCCCGCACAAGCGGUGGAGCAUGUGGUUUAAUUUCGAAGCAACGCGAAGACCUUACCAGGUCUUGACAUCCUCUGACACUCUAGAGAUAGAGCGUUCCCCUUCGGGGGACAGAGUGACAGGUGGGUGCAUGGAUGUCGUCAGCUCGUGUCGUGAGAUGUGGAUAGUCCCGCACGAGCGCACCUGAUCUAGUGCCAGCAUCAGGUGGCACCUCUAAGGUGACUGCGGUGACAGCCGGAGAAUGUGGAUGACGUCAUCAUCAUGCCUAUGGACCUUGGGGCUACCACCGUUCCUUA
rnacentral:rRNA from 2 species